GGUUAAGUGACUAAGCGUACACGGUGGAUGCCCUGGCAGUCAGAGGCGAUGAAGGACGUGCUAAUCUGCGAUAAGCGUCGGUAAGGUGAUAUGAACCGUUAUAACCGGCGAUUUCCGAAUGGGGAAACCCAGUGUGUUUCGACACACUAUCAUUAACUGAAUCCAUAGGUUA
rnacentral:rRNA from 1 species